CCUACGGGAGGCAGCAGUAGGGAAUAUUGGACAAUGGGUGAGAGCCUGAUCCAGCCAUGCCGCGUGCAGGAAGAAGGCGUUAUGCGUUGUAAACUGCUUUAGCCAGGGGAUAAAAAGACUCUGCGGAGUUAAUUGAAGGUACCUGGAUAAUAAGCCACGGCUAACUACGUGCCAGCAGCCGCGGUAAUACGUAGGUGGCAAGCGUUGUCCGGAUUUAUUGGGUUUAAAGGGUGCGUAGGCGGCCCUGUAAGUCAGUGCUGAAAUAUCCCGGCUUAACCGGGAGGGUGGCAUUGAUACUGCAGGGCUUGAGUACAGAUGAAGUAGGCGGAAUUGACGGUGUAGCGGUGAAAUGCAUAGAUAUCGUCAAGAACACCGAUAGCGAAGGCAGCUUACUAAGCUGUAACUGACGCUGAGGCACGAAAGUGUGGGGAUCAAACAGGAUUAGAUACCCUGGUAGUCCACACUGUAAACGUUGAUGACUCGAUGUUGGCGAUACACAGCCAGCGUCCAAGAGCAAUCGUUAAGUCAUCCACCUGGGGAGUACGCCGGCAACGGUGAAACUCAAAGGAAUUGACGG
rnacentral:rRNA from 1 species